rnacentral:rRNA from 1 species
GACUAACGCUGGCGGCGUGCCUAACGCAUGCAAGUCGAACGAGGUAGCAAUACCUAGUGGCAGACGGGUGAGUAACACGUGGUCAACCUGCCUUUGUGAGGGGGAUAACUAGCCGAAAGGUUAGCUAAUACCGCAUACGAUCGCUCUGGGGCAUCCCUAAGCGAUGAAAGGAGCAAUCCGCACAAAGAGGGGACUGCGUC